rnacentral:rRNA from 1 species
GUGAACGCUAGCGGGAGGCCUAACACAUGCAAGCCGAGCGGGAUUUGUUGGUUAGCUUGCUAACUAACAAUGAGAGCGGCGUACGGGUGCGUAGCACGUGUGCAACCUGCCUUUAUCUGGGGGAUAGCCUUUCGAAAGGAAUAUUAAUACCCCAUAACAUAUUGAUUGGCAUCAGUUAAUAUUGAAAGCUCCGUCGGAUAGAGAUGGGCACGCGUAAGAUUAGCUAGUUGGUGAGGUAACGGCUCACCAAGGCUGCGAUCUUUAGGGGGCCUGAGAGGGUGAUCCCCCACACUGGUACUGAGACACGGACCAGACUCCUACGGGAGGCAGCAGUGAGGAAUAUUGGACAAUGGGUGAGAGCCUGAUCCAGCCAUCCCGCGUGAAGGACUAAGGACCUAUGGGUUGUAAACUUCUUUUAUACAGGGAUAAACCUACUCUCGUGAGGGUAGCUGAAGGUACUGUAUGAAUAAGCACCGGCUAACUCCGUG